GAUGAACGCUGGCGGCGUGCUUAAUACAUGCAAGUCGAACGAACAGACGAGGAUCUUGCUCCUCUCUCGUUAGCGGCGGACGGGUGAGUAACACGUGGAUACCCUACCUAUCUGACUGGGAUAACUUCGGGACACCGGCUCUAAUACCGUAUAAUCUCUUGAACCGCGUGGUUCGUUGGUGAAAGACGGCUUUUCUGUCUCUUCUAGCUGGAUCCGGGCCGCAUUAGCUAGUUGUUACGGUAACGGCUUACCAAGGCGACGAUGCGUAGCCGACCUGAGAGGGGGAUAGGCCACACUGGAACUGAGACACGGACCAGACUACUACGGGAGGCAGCAGUAGGGAAUGUGAGGCAAUGGGCGAAAGCAUGACGGAGCAAGGCCGCGUGAGUGAUGAAGGCGUUCGGAUCGUAAAACACGGUUAGGGGGGAAGAACAGAUGUGUACGUAAACAAGGACGGAGUGACGGUACCGGAUCAGAAAGCAACGGCUAACUACGUG
rnacentral:rRNA from 1 species